rnacentral:rRNA from 1 species
CCUACGGGUGGCAGCAGUAGGGAAUCUUUCACAAUGGGCGAAAGCCUGAUGGAGCAACGCCGCGUGCAGGAUGAAGGCCUUCGGGUUGUAAACCUCUGUCAGCAGGGAAGAACGGUCACUGUGCUAAUCAGCAGUGAAUUGACGGUACCUGCAAAGGAAGCACCGGCUAACUCCGUGCCAGCAGCCGCGGUAAUACGGAGGGUGCGAGCGUUAAUCGGAAUUACUGGGCGUAAAGCGCUCGUAGGCGGUAUGUCAAGUCAAGGGUGAAAUCCCCGCGCUCAACGUGGGAACUGCCUUUGAAACUGGCAAACUGGAGUGUGUGAGAGGAUAGUGGAAUUCCAGGUGUAGGAGUGAAAUCCGUAGAUAUCUGGAGGAACAUCAGUGGCGAAGGCGACUAUCUGGCACAUAACUGACGCUGAGGAGCGAAAGCGUGGGUAGCAAACAGGAUUAGAUACCCUGGUAGUC